UCCCUAGUGGCUCAGAUGGUAAAGAAGCUGCCUGCAAUGCAGGAGACCCAGGUUCCAUCCCUGGAUGAGGAA
rnacentral:tRNA from 1 species